rnacentral:rRNA from 1 species
GACGAACGCUGGCGGCGUGCUUAACACAUGCAAGUCGAACGGAAAGGCCCUGCUUUUGUGGGGUGCUCGAGUGGCGAACGGGUGAGUAACACGUGAGUAACCUGCCCUUGACUUUGGGAUAACUUCAGGAAACUGGGGCUAAUACCGGAUAGGAGCUCCUGCUGCAUGGUGGGGGUUGGAAAGUUUCGGCGGUUGGGGAUGGACUCGCGGCUUAUCAGCUUGUUGGUGGGGUAGUGGCUUACCAAGGCUUUGACGGGUAGCCGGCCUGAGAGGGUGACCGGCCACAUUGGGACUGAGAUACGGCACAGACUCCUACGGGAGGCAGCAGUGGGGAAUAUUGCACAAUGGGCGGAAGCCUGAUGCAGCAACGCCGCGUGCGGGAUGACGGCCUUCGGGUUGUAAACCGCUUUCGCCUGUGACGAAGCGUGAGUGACGGUAAUGGGUAAAGAAGCACCGGCUAACUACGU